AGUCCCUUAGCUCAGUUGGUUAGAGCGUGGUGCUAAUAACGCCAAGGUCGCGAGUUCGACCCUCGUAGUGACCA
rfam:Pseudogymnoascus pannorum VKM F-3808 contig_1548, whole genome shotgun sequence.